rnacentral:rRNA from 1 species
CCUACGGGUGGCAGCAGUGAGGAAUAUUGGUCAAUGGCCGUAAGGCUGAACCAGCCAAGUCGCGUGCAGGAAGAAGGAUCUAUGGUUUGUAAACUUCUUUUAUAGGGGAAUAAAGGUAUCCACGUGUGGAUAUUUGCAUGUACCCUAUGAAUAAGCAUCGGCUAACUCCGUGCCAGCAGCCGCGGUAAUACGGAGGAUGCGAGCGUUAUCCGGAUUUAUUGGGUUUAAAGGGUGCGUAGGUUGUUUUUUAAGUCAGCGGUGAAAGUUUGUGGCUCAACCAUAAAAUUGCCGUUGAAACUGGAAGACGUAGGGGGGUUGGAGGAAGGCGGAAUGCGGGGUGUAGCGGGGAAAGGCAUGGAUAUCACGCAGAACUCCGAUGGCGAAGGCAGCUAACGAAGCCAUAACGGACACUGAAGCACGAAAGGGUGGGGAUCAAACAGGAUUAGAUACCCCAGUGGU